CAGUAGCCGCGGUAAUACGUAGGGUGCGAGCGUUAAUCGGAAUUACUGGGCGUAAAGCGUGCGCAGGCGGUUGUGUAAGACAGGCGUGAAAUCCCCGGGCUUAACCUGGGAACUGCGCUUGUGACUGCACAGCUAGAGUAUGGCAGAGGGGGGUGGAAUUCCACGUGUAGCAGUGAAAUGCGUAGAGAUGUGGAGGAACACCGAUGGCGAAGGCAGCCCCCUGGGCCAAUACUGACGCUCAUGCACGAAAGCGUGGGGAGCAAACAGGAUUAGAUACCCGAGUAGUCCCUGUCUCUUAUAA
rnacentral:rRNA from 1 species